rnacentral:lncRNA from 1 species
GUGCGCAUGCAAGUGCGUGUGUACAGGUGCGUGUGCAAGUAUGUGCAUGUGUGUACAGGUGCGCGUGCGCAUGCAAGUGCGUGUGUACAGGUGCGUGUGCAAGUGUGUGCAUGUGUGUACAGGUGGGUGCACAUAGGUGUGUGCGCGGGUGCACAGGUGUGUGUUCCAGUGCACGUGCAAGGGUGCGUGCGUGUGUACAGGUGCACGUGCGCAUGCAAGUGCGUGUGUACAGGUGCAUGUGCAAGUGUGUGCGCGUGUGUACAGGUGGGCGCACAUGGGUGUGUGUGCAGGUGCACAGGUGUGUGUUCCAGUGCACAUGCAAGGGUGCGUGUGUAUGUACAGGUGGGUGUGUAUGCCUGUGCACGCAUGCAUGUGUGUGCGCAAGUGCAUGUGCAAGUCCAUGCCCGCAUGUGCUUGCACCUGUGCAUACACACGUGUAUACAUGUGUACCCCAGUGUACGCAUGUGCAUGCAUGUGUAUACACGCACGUGUUAUAUGUGUAUAUACCCCGAGUGCAUAUGCAAGUGUGUGUAUGUGUGUAUGAUGUGGGUGCAUCCUCAUGCACAUGUGUUAACGUGUUCAGCAGUGUGUGCACAUAUCCAUGUGUGUCUGCAUGGGUGCAUGGGUGUGUGCGGGCACAUGUGCACAUGCGUACAUAUGGGCAUGCAUGUGCAUGUUCACCUGUGCGUACAUGAGUGUACACGUGUUGCGUGUUUGGAGGUGUACGCACUGCUGUACAACAGCACCACAACCCUCUGUUGGGGGUCAGCACAUUCCAGUGGCCUGUUUUUCUUUUUGAUAAUAGUUUUUUCUUUGUUGUCAUUUUUUUUUUUUAAAAUGUCCCAGCACCCAAGACCCAUUAAACAGAAUCGCUAACUGUAGGAUGAAAUCAUCCCUGUAGGGUUACACCCAGGUAUAAAUCUCAUAGGUAAUACUAUAUGCUACAGUCACUAGCCUUGGGAAAGUAAGAUAGAGAUGAAAUACCAGGCUGGCAAAAAGAAUGAGUUGUAUCUGAUGUAUUUACUGAUCCUCAGAGAAAAGAGCUUUUAAAGUUGCGCUUUUGCACUGGUUUAGCUAUGUGUUAAAUGUUCCUGCAGUCUGAGCAGUCUCACUGAACUGAGUGCAACUGCUUGUGGUGCACAAGAGAUGAUGAUAUGUAAAUUGUUGCAGGAGCAAGACCAUGUCAUUGCAACAACAGUAGCUUCAGUUAUGUAGCACUGGGCUUUCCUGACAUUCUUCCUAACACAGGAUUGUGUAUUUUUUAGAGCCCAGAUUAAGAAAU